UUCUUGUGUUCCCUGUGUUUUAUUUGGAUUUAAUUCUUGGACGUUUUUACUGCUUCUGAACCAGAACCUCGAAGCCCACCACCGACGUCGUCCCCUGAGGGUCCUUCUUGUCCGUCUGAUGAAGAGAAGGAUUACAUCACUCAGAUGAUACUAAAUCAACAGGGACAGCUCCUGUUCCUGGGCCAACUUGACACGAGGCAUAUUUAAUGAUCCAAAAGUGUCUGAACCAAAAAAAAUCCCAAUAAAGAUUUUUUAAAUUUCA